GACUCAGUGGCGCAACGGUAGCACUUCUGACCAGAUCAGAGGCUGCGUGUUCAAAUCACGUCAGGUCA